AUUGAACGCUGGCGGCAUGCCUUACACAUGCAAGUCGAACGGCAGCACGGGAGCAAUCCUGGUGGCGAGUGGCGAACGGGUGAGUAAUACAUCGGAACGUGCCCAAUCGUGGGGAGUAACGCAGCGAAGCUGUGCUAAUACCGCAUAAGAUCUACGGAUGAAAGCAGGGGAGUCGCAAGACCUUGCGCGAGUGGAGCGGCCGAUGGCAGAUUAGGUAGUUGGUGAGGUAAAGGCUCACCAAGCCUUCG
rnacentral:rRNA from 1 species